GCCAGCUGAAGGGGAGGCUCAUGUCUAGGGCAUGGAGGGAGAGCCAAGGGGCCUGGUAUGGAAGCUCAGGAGACGCGUGGCCCAGAUGAGACUUCCCAGCUGCCCCGGGGCCCGACUCACCUGCUGGAGCAUGAGCGCUUGUUGCUGCUGGAGCAAGGCCUGCAGCUGUGGGGGUGACAGGAUCUGCUGCAUCUGUUGGGGGAUGAGGAAACUGAGGCCUAGCGGAGUCAAAUCACCUGCCCUUUCCUCAAAGGCACAAUGGGAGAAGGGGUAAGUGAAAGUGAUUUGUAGGCCAUCAAAUUCCAUACAAAUGCAGGGAAAACUACUUUUAAAAACAUUCUGGGUUUUCCUCUUCUCUUUUCUCUUCUCCCCCUUUCCCUCUCUCUUCACCAUGACUGCCCCUUAGGCCCGCCUGGAGCCCCAGAGGGUACUGCAUGGCGAGGGUCCCCAAGGACCAGAGUUUGGGGCCUGUCAUUCCCAGGGAGGACUCAAUUUAGAGCUGGACAUGGCCCAGGCAGGGAGGCAGACCAGACACCAGGGGAUCUUUCCAGCCACUAGGGUUGUGAGUCACCGUGAGUGGCAUGCAAGAAAGGAUGUGGCAUUUCCUUCCUUGGGGCUUUCCUACUUGGACGCAGGGGAAUGGAAGAGAUGACCUUGGAAGGCCUCCCUGGCCUCUGCCAUUCCUGCCAAGUGGCCGAAUAGCUGGCCGGAGAGGCGGCUGCAGAGAUGUGGACGGAUCACCUUGUGUGUACUUGUCCAGUGGGGCCAAGGGGGUCAAGAAAGGUCAGCGAAGUGGCUGCCGCAUGCUGAGCUUCUGAACUGCCUGACCCCAUCCGCCUCCUCCCGUGCCCCUUAGGGUCCUGAGAACUGAGUUAGAGCUCCCCUGGUGUCCCCGCUGACCCCUCACCAGGCUAGGAUGUGUCAGGAUAGGCACUGUCAGCCUGUCAGCUCAGCAAGGCCCGUGAGUCACUAUCUGGAGAGUGGCCAGGACAGCUAAAUGCUUACUAAAGCCCUGGCAGUGCGAGCCCUGGGUAAAUGCCGACAGCUGCCUCCAGCCCUUCCCUCAGGGACCCUGCCCAGGCCCCUGAGUCCUCCACCCACCAUGACUACAGUGUGCUGGGCUGGGUGGCCUGACAUAGAGGCAGCUUAUCUGGGACCUGAGGGUUGGGAGGCUGUGCACCCCAUGGAUGCGAUUUGGUGCCAGAAUCAAGGACCCAAAUUCAACCUCUUAAGUGGGGUCUAAGGUCCUUGGCUCGGUGGAGACACCAGGCCAGACAGGCCAGACGGGCCAGAGCUUGGUCUAGGUUAAACUCCCUUGCAAAUGACCAGAAGGAAGUCCGCAGGCUAGCUCUGGGCUGGAGCUGCAGCAAGGAAGAAGUAAAGAAGUGGUGGGGCGCCAAGAUGAACUUCCAGAAAUUCUAGAGAAGAUGAUACAGAGGCUGGACAGAGCUAAGGGGCCUGGCCCUAGCCUACCAUCAUCCCCUCCACCCCCCAAAACUCCCAGCUACCUUUGCUACCUUCUAUAAUUGACCCCUCCCUGCCUGGGGGCCCAGACUGGGGCACAAACUAGGCCAUCUCCAGGCUAGGGGUGGAGACUCCAAUGGUGCUAGAAACUUCUGAAGCUGGCUGCAGGAGAGGGGUCCUGAACAUGGUGGGGAGGUGAGUGGGCAGCCAAUCCUGUCUUGAGAUGGGGAACAGAGCAGUGUCAUGUGGGGGCCACUGUUAAAGGGCCGCCACCUAUCUCCUUCUUUUAACCAUUUCACUCACAGAAAAGCUAUUUCUAGGCCCUGCGACCCAAUCAGACCCAUUUCCUUAGAGAUGAUGAACCUAAGGGUAGAGAGAAGAGGCAAGGAAGGUAUCCAGGGUUGGGGGAGAAGGAGGAUCAAAGUCAGAGCUCCAGGCUCCUGGAGAAGUACAGACGUGGCCCCAUGAACCCCAUCUCCCUGAGCCCAGAGAAUCAUCCCUGGGGACUACUGGUGUUCACUACUGUGCAAA